rnacentral:rRNA from 1 species
UACGAAGGGUGCAAGCGUUACUCGGAAUUACUGGGCGUAAAGGGUGCGUAGGUGGUUGUUUAAGUCUGUUGUGAAAGCCCCGGGCUCAACCUGGGAAUGGCAAUGGAUACUGGACAGCUAGAGUGCGGUAGAGGGUAGUGGAAUUCCCGGUGUAGCAGUGAAAUGCGUAGAUAUCUGGAGGAACACCGGUGGCGAAGGCGGCAUCCUGGACCAAUACUGACGCUGAGGAGCGAAAGCCAGGGGAGCAAACGGG